ensembl:lncRNA
GGUACAGAAUAUUGACUAGACAUUGAGGCCCCUGUGGAAAAUGAAGAUCAUUCUGCCAAAGUGAUGUCACUGAUGCUCUGUGGCGACCGGGAGGCACACCUACAAGGUGAGGGGAGUUAUUAUGGACAGUUCCUUUGUCCAUAUACAUCCAUACAGCUGAGUCCAUGUGUGAUCUGGUGGAAUAGUCAUUCCAACAAGCAGUCGUCAUGAUUAUAAUGCUUACAUCCGCAAUGUCACAGUAGAUUAUUUAUACAACAUGUGUAGUUAAUAAUGAGUCUCAAAAUCACACAAGCACUGGGUAGGUCUUACUGCAAAAAAAUAAUAACUCAAUGACAUAUUUAAUUUUCUUGGAAGUUACAAAUAAAUUGCACAUGCUGGGAUAAAUAGGCUGUGCUGAAAAAUAAACCACUUCGAAACACAACCAAGACACGGCAUGAUAAAGAGUGUUUAUCACUCUAAAUUCCAGAGCUAUUUAGAACGGCUUUGCCCGUGCCCCUCGACUUGACCAACCUGAUUGAAAAUGGGAGCAUGGUCCACAAUUAGAUUGUUACUGGUUUUCCCAAUGGGACAAUUAGAUUGUUACUGGUUUUCCCAAUGGGACAUUUCCUGUGUUUCCUUCCUGUAUGAGACCCUGGCCUGCCCGCUCCCCUCCCCUCCCCACAGUGUUUGCUCACCCCUCCAUCAUGUCCAGGGUUUUACUCCACUGCUGAUGAGAGAAGGCCUCUGAGGAGCGGAACUUAGCCACUGUGAACAUGGGCUUUCACAGAUCUGUUCACAAAGCUGGCUAAGUCCUGCACCUCAGGAAACUCUGAAUCCUGUAUCACUAGAUCCAGAUGUCCUCCAUUUCUCUUGUGUAUCCAUUUUUCCAUUUGCCGUUUUUUCUUCUUCUUGUUCUAAAAAAGUACACGUUUUCAGAUAUGGAUCACCAUUGAGUUACAUUCACUUGUGGAGAUAUUUGGUGACGAUGGCUUGUGGACAAUAUCUUUGUUGGUUUAUCCCCGCCUGAAUAAAGUCCUAGAGUGUAUUUACCAUUUCUGAGCGGGGUGUUGAGACUGAGCAAGGGACUGGGAAACCACAAUUAGAUGUUAUGGAACAUUUCACAUUUGUAGAAAAUAAUGCUUGUCUGUGGCAUUAUUAAAAUGCUGAGGAAAGUAAGAGGUCGUUAUCGAAAGUACAUCCUGACCAUGAGAGUCAUUGGCCUCAGUAGUGUGAUGAUCCUCAUCCUGGGUGAGCUUCUGACAGAAAAUGUAGCUUGGAGACGGUGGACAAAGGUUGAGGAAGACAACAGGCUCCUGGAUGGGGAUGAUGUUGAAGUGGGUGGCACGCAGCUGGUUGGAAAUCCCUGGCAAUGUGAUUUUAUGACACAAUACCAAAUCACUCUGCCAGGAAUCCCACUGGCUGCUCCAUGUAGGAUGGAGAAAAAGAGAG